UAGUAAUCGCGAAUCAGAAUGUCGCGGUGAAUACGUUCCCGGGCCUUGUACACACCGCCGUCACACCAUGAGAGUCGAUAACACCCGAAGCCUGUGAGCUAACCUUUUAGGAGGCAGCAGUCGAAGGUGCGGUUGAUGAUUGGGGUGAAGUCGUAACAAGGUAGC
rnacentral:rRNA from 1 species